GUCUCUAUCAUAUUGAUGAUCUGUCAAAAUGUACGUGUAGAUAUUCUGCACAUUCUGGUUCAUGCCACUACUUAAUUAAGGUCUUCUUUUAUGAGGUUCUGCCUUGUGCAAAUAAUAUGAUUAUUUAGCAGCUUGGUUUCAUGGCUUUGGAUCUCAUGUGAAUAAACUAUAUAUUAAGUGUUUGCUGUUCUUUGCUUAAUAAUAAUAAUAGUAACUUUGGAAAUUACAAGCUUCAGUACAAAGAUGCCAAAGUUUUGAUAUAAAUUGUACUAACUCAUAAUGGUGGCUUCUAAUUAUAGUGAACUAGAUAGGCGCUCACAUGCUAGUGGGCUUCGGUGGCAUUUUGAGCUCUUGGCUGUUGUCUUUAACUGCCAAUGCGUAGCGGCCAACAAAAUUAGCUCUAGUGCUUUGUGUGAACUUAUGGUGGUUAUUUACUUUAUUUCAUUGUACACUGCAUUGUGCUAUAUAUGUUCCAUAAGUAUAAACAUGCUAUGCUUGGCAUGCGGUUUUGGGGAAAAAGGAAGCAUCGCAUGUGUACAAAUCGUUUGACCUGCAUUUUACUACUUGCUAUUUACUAUACAUCGAAAUUGUACUUGUAAGUGUAAAAAUUUGUCUGCGGUUAAAAAAGUUUUGUAUCAAGCUUGUAAGUUUUGUCACAAGGAUGAGAUUGUUUAAUACUACAAAACUUCAUACCUUUGCUUUCAUAAUUUCUGUAUACGAAACCAUUCUAAACUAAACCAACUAGAUCCGAUCCUUAUCUGUUCAUAAUUUUUUUCUCUGUGGUUCAAAAAGUUAAUUGACGUCUACAAAGUUGUACUAAAGUUGCAUCAAUUAAUUUGGGUAUUAGGGAGUAUCAAUCUUGUAAGUUUUGUCACAAGGAUGAGAUUGUUGAAUGCUACUCCCUCCAUUCUGAAUUACUUGUCGCAGGUAUGGAUGUAUCUAGAUGUAUUUUAGUUUUAGAUACAUCCAUUUUUGUGACAAGUAAUUUGGAACGGAGGGAGUACAAAACUUCAUACCUUUGCUUCAUGUUCUUGAUGUUUGAACUGGGGAUCCCAUGAAAUUCUUUUUUGUAACAUGGUUCUCAUCUCUGAACAUCCUCAGCUUUCCAUUUUUAGAAUUUUUUAAAACAAAAUACGGCAAUUGACAUCUGUUUCGUUAGCUUUUUAUACUAAUGUUUUACUUCUCCGAACUAAAUUUUUGCAAAUUACAUCGAUCUAGUUGCAGGUCUUUGUAUAUUUCCACAAUUAUGGAGGGUGUGGUUUAGCUGUGUUUUUCAGAGCAUUGCAAGUUUGGUGACUCUUCUGGGGGAGUCAUGUGGCUCUUUUUGAAUGAUGGCGUUUCAUAGGAUGGUGGCAAGUCUGGUAUUUAGAAGACAUUUUAUGAAGCCUGAGGAAGUCCUGGAUUAGGGGGUGUUCGGAUAGCCGGAACUAUACCUUCGGCCGGACUCCUGGGCUAUGAAGAUAUAAGAUUGAAAAUUUCGUCCCGUGUCUGGAAGGGACUUUUCUUGGCGUGGAAGGCAAGCUUGGCGAUACGGAUAUGUAGAUCUCCUACCAUUGUAACCGACUCUGUGUAACCCUAGCCCUCUUCGGUGUUUAUAUAAACUGGAGGGUUUUAGUCCGUAGGAACAACCAUCAUACCAUAGGCUAGCUUUUAGGGUUUAGCUUCCUUAAUCUCGUGGUAGAUCUACUCUUGUACUACCCAUAUCAUCAAUAUUAAUCAAGCAGGAGUAGGGUUUUACCUCUAUCGAGAGGGCCCGAACCUGGGUAAAAACAUCGUGUCCUUUGUCUUCUGUUACCAUCCGUCUAG
rnacentral:lncRNA from 1 species